rnacentral:rRNA from 1 species
GGCAGCAGUGGGGAAUCUUCGGCAAUGGGCGAAAGCCUGACCGAGCAACGCCGCGUGAAUGAUGAAGGCCUUCGGGUUGUAAAAUUCUGUUAUAAGGGAAGAACGACUUUAGUAGGAAAUGGCUAAAGUGUGACGGUACCUUAUGAGAAAGCCACGGCUAACUACGUGCCAGCAGCCGCGGUAAUACGUAGGUGGCAAGCGUUACCCGGAAUUAUUGGGCGUAAAGAGCGCGCAGGUGGUUGAUUAAGUCUGAUGUGAAAGCCCACGGCUUAACCGUGGAGGGUCAUUGGAAACUGGUCGACUUGAGUGCAGAAGAGGGAAGUGGAAUUCCAUGUGUAGCGGUGAAAUGCGUAGAGAUAUGGAGGAACACCAGUGGCGAAGGCGGCUUCCUGGUCUGUAACUGACACUGAGGCGCGAAAGCGUGGGGAGCAAACAGGAUUAGAUACCCUGGUAGUCCACGCCGUAAACGAUGAGUGCUAAGUGU